rnacentral:rRNA from 1 species
UACGAAGGGGGCUAGCGUUGCUCGGAAUCACUGGGCGUAAAGCGCACGUAGGCGGGUUGUUAAGUCGGGGGUGAAAUCCUGGAGCUCAACUCCAGAACUGCCUUCGAUACUGGCGACCUUGAGUCCGGGAGAGGUGAGUGGAACUCCGAGUGUAGAGGUGAAAUUCGUAGAUAUUCGGAAGAACACCAGUGGCGAAGGCGGCUCACUGGCCCGGUACUGACGCUGAGGUGCGAAAGUGUGGGGAGCGAACAGG